rnacentral:tRNA from 1 species
GGGCCCAUAGCUCAGUUGGUUAGAGCAUCUGACUCAUAAUCAGAGGGUCCGGGGUUCGAGUCCCUGUGGGCCCA